CCUACGGGAGGCUGCAGUGGGGAAUAUUGCACAAUGGGGGAAACCCUGAUGCAGCGACGCCGCGUGAGUGAAGAAGUAAUUCGUUACGUAAAGCUCUAUCAGCAGGGAAGAAAAACUGACCUUACGGCCAGCAGACGGUACCUGAGUAAGAAGCCUCGGCUAACUACGUGCCAGCAGUCGCGGUAAUACGUAGGGGGCAAGCGUUAUCCGGAAUUACUGGGUGGAAAGGGGGCGUAGACGGUGCGCCAAGUCGGGAGUGAAAGGCCGGAGCUUAACUGGGGAACUGCUGUGGUAACGGGCGGACUAGAGUGCGGGAGGGGUGAGCGGAAUUCCUGGUGUAGCGGUGGAAUGCGUAGAUAUUAGGAGGAACACCGGUGGCGAAGGCGGCUUUCUGGACCGUAACUGACGUUGAGGCGCGAAAGCGUGGGGAGCGAACAGGAUUAGAUACCCGAGUAGUC
rnacentral:rRNA from 1 species